AAGGGAUUCUGUUAGGUGAGGCUCCUGAAUAGAGAAAUGCUGCUGCCCAAAAAUGUCGAGAGACGCCAAUGGGUCAACAAGAAAGAUCGGAAGAAGGUCUUUUUUAACGUAGCUGGUUAUUUAGAACCUAUGCUAUUCAGUGCUAAAGCUCAACGAGGGAAACCGGC
rnacentral:sRNA from 2 species